GCCGGGUGUGGUGGCACGUGCCUGCAGUCCCAGCUACUUGGGAGGCUGAGGCUGGAGGAUCGCUUGAGUCCAGGAGUUCUGGGCUGUAGUGCGCUAUGCCAAUCGGGUGUUCACACUAAGUUCGGCAUCAAUAUGGUGACCUCCUGGGAGCGGGGGACCACCAGGUUGCCUAAGGAGGGGUGAACCGGCCCAGGUCAGAAACAGAGGAGGUCAAAACUCCCAUGCUGAUCAGUAGAGGGAUCGCGCCUGUGAAUAGUCACUGCACUCCAGCCUGGGCAACAGAGGGAAACCCCAUCUCU
rnacentral:SRP_RNA from 1 species